CCAUAUGGUCGACCUGCAGGCGGCCGCGAAUUCACUAGUGAUUCGUAUUACCGCGGCUGCUGGCACGGAGUUAGCCGGAGCUUAUUCUCCCGGUACUGUCAUUAUCAUCCCGGGUAAAAGAGCUUUACAACCCUAAGGCCUUCAUCACUCACGCGGCAUUGCUGGAUCAGGCUUUCGCCCAUUGUCCAAUAUUCCCCACUGCUGCCUCCCGUAGGAGUCUGGGCCGUGUCUCAGUCCCAGUGUGGCUGAUCAUCCUCUCAGACCAGCUAAGGAUCGUCGCCUUGGUGCGCCUUUACCACACCAACUAGCUAAUCCUACGCGGGCUCAUCCCUCGGCGAUAAAUCUUUGGACUUACGUCGUCAUCCGGUAUUAGCAGUCAUUUCUAACUGUUAUUCCGAACCAAGGGGCAGAUUCCCACGUGUUACGCACCCGUGCGCCACUAAGGCCGAAGCCUUCGUUCGACUUGCAUGUGUUAGGCAUGCCGCCAGCGUUCGUUCUGAGCCAUGAUCAAACUCUAAUCGAAUUCCCGCGGCCGC
rnacentral:rRNA from 1 species